UACGAAGGGGGCUAGCGUUGCUCGGAAUCACUGGGCGUAAAGCGCACGUAGGCGGAUCGUUAAGUCAGGGGUGAAAUCCUGGAGCUCAACUCCAGAACUGCCUUUGAUACUGACGACCUUGAGUUCGGGAGAGGUGAGUGGAACUGCGAGUGUAGAGGUGAAAUUCGUAGAUAUUCGCAAGAACACCAGUGGCGAAGGCGGCUCACUGGCCCGAUACUGACGCUGAGGUGCGAAAGCGUGGGGAGCAAACAGG
rnacentral:rRNA from 1 species